rnacentral:rRNA from 1 species
GGCAGUUAGAGGCGAUGAAGGACGUGUAAGUCUGCGAAAAGCUGUGGUGAGCCGACAAAAUGCAUUUGAGCCACAGAUGUCCGAAUGGGGAAACCCACCUGUUUACAGGUAUCGUUAACUGAAUACAUAGGUUAACGAGGCAAACGAGGGGAACUGAAACAUCUAAGUACCCGGAGGAAAAGAAAUCAACCGAGAUUCCCUUAGUAGCGGCGAGCGAACGGGGACCAGCCGAAUCAGUGUGGUGUAGUGGAAGGCUCUGGAAAGUGCCGGCACAGAGGGUGAUACCCCCGUACGCGAAACACCGCAUUGGACACAUUAAGUAGGGCGGGGCACGUGAAACCUUGUCUGAACAUGGGGGGACCAUCCUCCAAGGCUAAAUACUCGUUGUCGACCGAUAGUGAACCAGUACCGUGAGGGAAAGGCGAAAAGAACCCCUGUGAGGGGAGUGAAAUAGAUCCUGAAACCGUAUACGUACAAGCAGUGGGAGCAGACUUGUUCUGUGACUGCGUACCUUUUGUAUAAUGGGUCAGCGACUUAAUUUCAGUAGCAAGGUUAACCGUAUAGGGGAGCCGUAGGGAAACCGAGUCUUAAUAGGGCGUAUAGUUGCUGGGAUUAGACCCGAAACCGAGUGAUCUAUCCAUGAGCAGGUUGAAGAUUAGGUAACACUGAUUGGAGGACCGAACCCACUGUCGUUGAAAAGCCAGGGGAUGACUUGUGGAUAGGAGUGAAAGGCUAAUCAAACUCGGAGAUAGCUGGUUCUCC